rnacentral:tRNA from 1 species
GCCUGGGUGGCUCAGUCAGUUGAGCAUCUGACUUCGGCUCAGGUCAUGAUCUCGCGGUCCGUGAGUUCGAGCCCCGCGUCAGGCU